UGAGAGUACGGGAUCGCCUGACCGAAACCCUCGCGAUUGAGAUCGAGCGAAGCGGAGGCGCAGGCGGGAGAGAUGCCGAAUAGGGAGCUAUUUGCCCGACCCAACGUCUCGUCGUCGGCGUCCGCCGAAGGGAACCGCAUGGCCUUCCUCAACUGGUCCGGUGGAGCUCGCUUCGAUCAGCACCUCGACGCCGAGCAUGCAGGUGCAAGAUCAGAAAGCAUUUCUUCCUCUGAGAAGUUGCCAUGAUGCAUGUAUCUGUGAUCACUUCUGUUCUCGUGCAGAUCAAUAUUGGAGGAUACACUAAAAUGAGACAGUCAACUGGAAUUAUCGAGGUGACUCUUCAGGAAACCCCAAGAAAACUCAAAAUCGCUUCAUAUCACAGUAAGAUGUGCCAGGAAGGCUGCUGGGAAUGAAUUCUCAUUGUGAACUACAUUCUUCAUCAGAGGAACUGGAUCUUAACAGAUAUCUAACUCGCUUAGAACUAAGUCUACUCCUUUUACCAAGGGAAAUCAAUCAUGUACAGAACCAGCUUGACGGGACUUCAUGUUGAGCCGACAAUUCCACAUUGGCAAAAUUCAUCGGUCCUUGCAUUAUUGCAUGCAAUGCUCGUCGGCAGGACUUCAUUAUAAGUUGAAUCUGUAGGUUAGCAAAUUAAUGGACAUGACAUUUUUUGAAGUCUGAAAAAUAUCUUAGACUGUGUCCCAUUGUGGUGGGUGAGAUGGGCCUGUCUCAAUCAAUCAUUUGUGACCAAGCAAUCUGCAUGCCUCCUGCUGCUUCUGCUUGUGAAUCAUCUGCUGGAGCUUGAUGGCACUUGAGAAGAAGAUACCACCAAGACCAGGAGCGGCUUGUGGCCCCUCAGCGGCUGUUUAAUAUGGGAUCUUUAAGGUGUUCUUGUUGAGUAGGUGUAUGUCUAAAGGAUAAAGCAGAUGAUAAUUAUUAUGUUAGAUGAUGUUUAUUAUGCUUGAUCCUGUGGGGACCUGGUUACCUCUUUUAUUAGCUUCUGUAUAUAUGAUUACUAGGUUCAUUGGAGGUAGUAAUACCCAAAGACAUGACUAGUUUAAUA